rnacentral:lncRNA from 1 species
GCCAGCCUUCUCUUCUAUUAAUCUGCUUUUUGUCAGUUGAUUUUUCAGCAAACCUUCAGGGGACAAAGGCAAAGUUUUUUCCUUAGCCCUUGCAUUACAUAAAACUAAAAGAGUCUCCAGUCUGUCCCAUUGCCCAAAGGCUGCCUCUCUGUCCCAGGCCUAGAUUUUCCUCUGCUCACCCCCCUCCGCCACCCAGUCCCCACUCCAGAUAAAACAAUCUGCUCACCACAUGUUGGACACAUGAUUUACAGCUUCCUACUUACAGACUUUCUCUGCCAAAAUCCGUAUUCCUCCUUCAUAACUUGCUUCCAAGAGCUUCCCCGUGAUCUCGGCCUAUUGUGAUCUCUUCUUUCCACCAGGUUCAUGGAACAGGGAGAAGAAUAAUUGACGUCGGGGCUUGGCUUUAUGGUCUUUACAGCUGUGAUCGGAUUAGAAGAAAGGCUGACAAAAGUGUUGUUUCCAUCCGCCUUUUACAAUCGGAGAGAAUGAAUGAGCUGCUUUCCAGUUUUCUGUUCCAAGUAUUAACUGGAUUCCCACUUCACUUUGCUUCCGUGAUUUCUCCUCUGCUUAUGUUAGCUUCCGUCUCACACGAUAUGUACAUAGCCCCAUCUCUGCCGAGCAAAUCAGAGGCUGAGCUCUGGGCUGUGGACAGUGUCAGUGACAACAAGGGAACACCCAGCUCGUUUCCCAAGAGUGUCAAGUAGCUGAAGUUUUCCUGCAGAAGUUAUCCACUGGGAUAUAGGAGGUAAUAUGGCUGUGGUCCGUGCUGGGUGAAACUGAAAACAUCUGACUGAGCCAAAGAGAAGAGACUAAAGAUAAAUGUUGCUGAAAUAAACACAGUCAAUUGUUAAGACAGUCAUGACAUUAAGACAAAGGAAGAAAAGUUUUCAGAGUGACUCAUCUUUUGGUUCUUCAGAGUGAUCAUAUCUUCCUUGGAAACAGAAAAUACAUGGAGAUGUGUGAACUAUGCAUGCCUCUGUGUUUAUGACUCGAAGAUAAGCUGUGGUGAGGGAAAGUCUAUAUUAGUAUUCAAGGCCACAGAAACCAGUCUCUUUUACAAAUUACCGUGUAAUUAAACAGAAGGCACAUGAGAUGUAUUUUAAGCACAUCCCCUUUCUUAUUCUUAGUAUUCCACUCAACGUCCAAACCCUUAUUAAUAUCUCUGGCCAAAACCACAACUUAAAAACUGCAAACUCAUUGUACUAUCAAGGAAUAUUUUCUAAUUGUGCCUUAAAACCAACUGUCAGACAAGCUGAGUUCCCAUCAUGAAUAAUGGUAUACAGAGGCUGACUCAGCGGUAAAGGGUGGAGAAAACGCAGAAAGAGGGGGAAAGCCGUAGGUAAGACAAGACAUGAGGCCAGGUGCGGUGGCUCACUCUGUAAUCCCAGCACUUUGGGAUGCUG